GUCUCUGGCGCCAGAGCGAUCAGUGAGAGAAGCAGCUGUUCAUCUGCAUUAAACAACUCAACCUCUCCGGAGAGUUCUGCCCAGACUCAGAACCAGGAUGUUCUCACUAAAACUCCUUUUCCUUGUGGUGGCUUCCCAGGGUGGCCAGGCGCAAGUUAGAUUCGUGGAAUCUGGAGGGGACAUGAGGAAGCCUGGAGACUCCCUCCAGCUCUCCUGUAGAGGGUCUGGAUUCAGCUUUGGAGAUCACUGGCUGAGCUGGCUCCGGCUGUCUCCCGGCAAAGGACUGGAGCAGGUCGCCACCAUUAGCUUUUGGGCAGGAGACACUAAACGUUAUGCUGCUUCUGUAACGGGGCGGUUCAGCAUCUCCAGAUCCAAUGGCCAGAAUAUGCUGUAUUUGCAAAUGAACAACCUGAAGCCUGAAGACACGGGCAUUUAUUUUUGCAGCCAAGCACAGUGUGUCAGAGUAAUUCUGAGCCCCCACAAAAACCUCGAAUCGUGGCCGUUUUGGGAGCAGAGUGCUGCCGGCAAAUUGAAAGAUCUGGACACAUGGGGGACUGUGAUACAUCGUCCCCAUUGUAAUGAAUGGGACCUCUUCAAAAAGGCCUUUCCAUCUAAGAACGACACUUACAGCACUGACACCCCCUCCUGACCCUAAACACCUACAAGCAAUAAU